GGCCCCGUCGUCUAACGGUUAGGACAUCAGGUUUUCAACCUGGGAGCGGGGGUUCGACUCCCCCCGGGGCCA
rnacentral:tRNA from 1 species